GCGGGGUUAGCUCAGCGGUAGAGCAUCUCGCUUACACCGAGGGGGUCGGGGGUUCGAAUCCCUCACUCCGCACCA
rnacentral:tRNA from 1 species